rnacentral:sRNA from 1 species
ACAAGUGUCCUCCUCUCUUUCCCCUCUGGCUCCCAGCUCUCAGUCCUGCCCAGGAAGAACCUGAAGAUCUGGACUGCGGGCGCCCUGAGCCCUCGGCCCGCAUCGUGGGGGGCUCAAACGCGCAGCCGGGCACCUGGCCUUGGCAAGUGAGCCUGCACCAUGGAGGUGGCCACAUCUGCGGGGGCUCCCUCAUCGCCCCCUCCUGGGUCCUCUCCGCUGCUCACUGUUUCAUGACGGUCAACCUAACCUCCUACUGCCCCGGUCGAGCGCAGGAAUGGGACGCUGGAGCCCGCGGCCGAGUGGUCGGUACUGCUGGGCGUGCACUCCCAGGACGGGCCCCUGGACGGCGCGCACACCCGCGCAGUGGCCGCCAUCGUGGUGCCGGCCAACUACAGCCAAGUGGAGCUGGGCGCCGACCUGGCCCUGCUGCGCCUGGCCUCACCCGCCAGCCUGGGCCCCGCCGUGUGGCCUGUCUGCCUGCCCCGCGCCUCACACCGCUUCGUGCACGGCACCGCCUGCUGGGCCACCGGCUGGGGAGACGUCCAGGAGGCAGAUCCUCUGCCUCUCCCCUGGGUGCUACAGGAAGUGGAGCUAAGGCUGCUGGGCAAGGCCACCUGUCAAUGUCUCUACAGCCAGCCCGGUCCCUUCAACCUCACUCUCCAGAUAUUGCCAGGGAUGCUGUGUGCUGGCUACCCAGAGGGCCGCAGGGACACCUGCCAGGGUGAUUCUGGGGGGCCCCUGGUCUGUGAGGAAGGCGGCCGCUGGUUCCAGGCAGGAAUCACCAGCUUUGGCUUCGGCUGUGGACGGAGAAACCGCCCUGGAGUUUUCACUGCUGUGGCUACCUAUGAGGCAUGGAUACGGGAGCAGGUGAUGGGUUCAGAGCCUGGGCCUGCCUUUCCCACCCAGCCCCAGAAGUCAGAUCCCCAGGAGCCCAGGGAGGAGAACUGCACCAUUGCCCUGCCUGAGUGCGGGAAGGCCCCGCGGCCAGGGGCCUGGCCCUGGGAGGCCCAGGUGAUGGUGCCAGGAUCCAGACCCUGCCAUGGGGCGCUGGUGUCUGAAAGCUGGGUCUUGGCACCUGCCAGUUGCUUUCUGGACCCGAACAGCUCCGACAGCCCACCCCGCGACCUCGACGCCUGGCGCGUGCUGCUGCCCUCGCGCCCGCGCGCGGAGCGGGUGGCGCGCCUGGUGCAGCACGAGAACGCUUCGUGGGACAACGCCUCGGACCUGGCGCUGCUGCAGCUGCGCACGCCCGUGAACCUGAGCGCGGCUUCGCGGCCCGUGUGCCUACCCCACCCGGAACACUACUUCCUGCCCGGGAGCCGCUGCCGCCUGGCCCGCUGGGGCCGCGGGGAACCCGCGCUUGGCCCAGGCGCGCUGCUGGAGGCGGAGCUGUUAGGCGGCUGGUGGUGCCACUGCCUGUACGGCCGCCAGGGGGCGGCAGUGCCGCUGCCCGGAGACCCGCCGCACGCGCUCUGCCCCGCCUACCAGGAAGAGGAGGAGGUGGGCAGCUGCUGGAAUGACUCGCGUUGGAGCCUUUUGUGCCAGGAGGAGGGGACCUGGUUUCUGGCUGGAAUCAGAGACUUUCCCAGUGGCUGUCUACGUCCCCGAGCCUUCUUCCCUCUGCAGACUCAUGGCCCAUGGAUCAGCCAUGUGACUCGGGGAGCCUAUCUGGAGGACCAGCUAGCCUGGGAUUGGGGCCCUGAUGGGGAGGAGACUGAGACACAGACUUGUCCCCCACACACAGAGCAUGGUGCCUGUGGCCUGCGGCUGGAGGCUGCUCCAGUGGGGGUCCUGUGGCCCUGGCUGGCAGAGGUGCAUGUGGCUGGUGAUCGAGUCUGCACUGGGAUCCUCCUGGCCCCAGGCUGGGUCCUGGCAGCCACUCACUGUGUCCUCAGGCCAGGCUCUACAACAGUGCCUUACAUUGAAGUGUAUCUGGGCCGGGCAGGGGCCAGCUCCCUCCCACAGGGCCACCAGGUAUCCCGCUUGGUCAUCAGCAUCCGGCUGCCCCGGCACCUGGGACUCAGGCCCCCCCUGGCCCUCCUGGAGCUGAACUUCCGGGUGGAGCCCUCCCCAUCAGCCCUGCCCAUCUGUCUCCACCCGGCGGGUAUCCCCCCGGGGGCCAGCUGCUGGGUGUUGGGCUGGAAAGAACCCCAGGACCGAGGUGAGACCCCUGGGUCACGGGAACGAGGAGUAGCUGGAGGCCAGAGCCCUGGAACAACUUUGUCUCCUCUCCCCAGUCCCUGUGGCUGCUGCUGUCUCCAUCUUGACACAACGAAUCUGCGACUGCCUCUAUCAGGGCAUCCUGCCCCCUGGAACCCUCUGUGUCCUGUAUGCAGAGGGGCAGGAGAACAGGUGUGAGAUGACCUCAGCACCGCCCCUCCUGUGCCAGAUGACGGAAGGGUCCUGGAUCCUCGUGGGCAUGGCUGUUCAAGGGAGCCGGGAGCUGUUUGCUGCCAUUGGUCCUGAAGAGGCCUGGAUCUCCCAGACAGUGGGAGAGGCCAACUUCCUGCCCCCCGGUGGCUCCCCACACUGGCCCACUGGAGGCAGCAAUCUCUGCCCCCCAGAACUGGCCAAGGCCUCGGGAUCCCCGCAUGCAGUCUACUUCCUGCUCCUGCUGACUCUCCUGAUCCAGAGCUGAGGGGCUAGGGUCCCAGCACCACUUCCCCCUUCUCCACCCUCUACUUCCCGCCCAGUGGGGCUGGAAUGUGGCCCAGCCGGCUGGAACCUCAAGGGCCCCACCCACCGAGAUUGCAGCGGCUCUGGCUAAUUGGGCCUCAGUGCCCGGGCUAUUUUGAACCCAGGAAUCCUUGGGGGUGGUGGGAGGAGCGGACAAUAAAGGUGUAAACAC